UACAGAGGGGGCAAGCGUUGUUCGGAAUUACUGGGCGUAAAGGGCGCGUAGGCGGCCCGCUAAGUCGAACGUGAAAUCCCCGAGCUCAACUCGGGAACUGCGUCCGAUACUGGCGGGCUUGAAUCCGGGAGAGGGAUGCGGAAUUCCAGGUGUAGCGGUGAAAUGCGUAGAUAUCUGGAGGAACACCGGUGGCGAAGGCGGCCUGCUGGGCUGUUGCUGACGCUGAGGCGCGACAGCGUGGGGAGCAAACAGG
rnacentral:rRNA from 1 species